GACGAACGCUGGCGGCGUGCUUAACACAUGCAAGUCGAACGGAAAGGCCCUGCUUUUGUGGGGUGCUCGAGUGGCGAACGGGUGAGUAACACGUGAGUAACCUGCCCUUGACUUUGGGAUAACUUCAGGAAACUGGGGCUAAUACCGGAUAGGAGCUCCUGCUGCAUGGUGGGGGUUGGAAAGUUUCGGCGGUUGGGGAUGGACUCGCGGCUUAUCAGCUUGUUGGUGGGGUAGUGGCUUACCAAGGCUUUGACGGGUAGCCGGCCUGAGAGGGUGACCGGCCACAUUGGGACUGAGAUACGGCCCAGACUCCUACGGGAGGCAGCAGUGGGGAAUAUUGCACAAUGGGCGGAAGCCUGAUGCAGCAACGCCGCGUGCGGGAUGACGGCCUUCGGGUUGUAAACCGCUUUCGCCUGUGACGAAGCGUGAGUGACGGUAAUGGGUAAAGAAGCACCGGCUAACUACGUGCCAGCAGCCGCGGUGAUACGUAGGGUGCGAGCGUUGUCCGGAUUUAUUGGGCGUAAAGGGCUCGUAGGUGGUUGAUCGCGUCGGAAGUGUAAUCUUGGGGCUUAACCCUGAGCGUGCUUUCGAUACGGGUUGACUUGAGGAAGGUAGGGGAGAAUGGAAUUCCUGGUGGAGCGGUGGAAUGCGCAGAUAUCAGGAGGAACACCAGUGGCGAAGGCGGUUCUCUGGGCCUUUCCUGACGCUGAGGAGCGAAAGCGUGGGGAGCGAACAGGCUUAGAUACCCUGGUAGACCACGCUGUAAACGGUGGGUACUAGGUGUGGGGUCCAUUCCACGGGUUCCGUGCCGUAGCUAACGCUUUAAGUACCCCGCCUGGGGAGUACGGCCGCAAGGCUAAAACUCAAAGGAAUUGACGGGGCCCCGCACAAGCGGCGGAGCAUGCGGAUUAAUUCGAUGCAACGCGUAGAACCUUACCUGGGUUUGACAUGGAUCGGGAGUGCUCAGAGAUGGGUGUGCCUCUUUUGGGGUCGGUUCACAGGUGGUGCAUGGCUGUCGUCAGCUCGUGUCGUGAGAUGUUGGGUUAAGUCCCGCAACGAGCGCAACCCUUGUUCACUGUUGCCAGCACGUUAUGGUGGGGACUCAGUGGAGACCGCCGGGGUCAACUCGGAGGAAGGUGGGGAUGACGUCAAGUCAUCAUGCCCCUUAUGUCCAGGGCUUCACGCAUGCUACAAUGGCUGGUACAGAGAGUGGCGAGCCUGUGAGGGUGAGCGAAUCUCGGAAAGCCGGUCUCAGUUCGGAUUGGGGUCUGCAACUCGACCUCAUGAAGUCGGAGUCGCUAGUAAUCGCAGAUCAGCAACGCUGCGGUGAAUACGUUCCCGGG
rnacentral:rRNA from 1 species